CCUACGGGAGGCUGCAGUGAGGAGUAUUGGACAAUGGGCGUAAGCCUGAACCAGCCAAGUCGCGUGAGGGAUGAAGGUUCUAUGGAUCGUAAACCUCUUUUAUAAGGGAAUAAAGUGUGGGACGUGUCCUGUUUUGUAUGUACAUUAUGAAUAAGGAUCGGCUAACUCCGUGCCAGCAGCCGCGUAAUACGGAGGAUCCGAGCGUUAUCCGGAUUUAAUGGGGUUAAAGGGUGCGUAGGGGGCCUUUUAAGUCAGCGGUGAAAGUCUGUGGCUCAACCAUAGAAUUGCUGUUGAAACUGGGAGGCUUGAGUAUGUUUGAGGCAGGCGGAAUGCGUGGUGUAGCGGUGAAAUGCUUAGAUAUCACGCAGAACCCCGAUUGCGAAGGCAGCCUGCCAAGCCAUGACUGACGCUGAUGCACGAAAGCGUGGGGAUCAAACAGGAUUAGAUACCCUAGUAGUC
rnacentral:rRNA from 1 species